rnacentral:rRNA from 1 species
GUGGGGAAUAUUGGGCAAUGGGCGAAAGCCUGACCCAGCAACGCCGCGUGAGGGAAGAAGGUUUUCGGAUUGUAAACCUCUGUCCUUGGUGACGAACACAAUGACGGUAGCCAAGGAGGAAGCCCCGGCUAACUACGUGCCAGCAGCCGCGGUAAUACGUAGGGGGCAAGCGUUGUCCGGAAUGACUGGGCGUAAAGGGCGUGUAGGCGGCCGAUUAAGUCUGGAGUGAGAGUCCUGCUUUCAAGGUGGGAAUUGCUUUGGAGACUGGUUGGCUUGAGUGCGGAAGAGGCAAGUGGAAUUCCCAGUGUAGCGGUGAAAUGCGUAGAGAUUGGGAGGAACACCAGUGGCGAAGGCGACUUGCUGGGCCGUAACUGACGCUGAGGCGCGAAAGCGUGGGGAGCGAACAGGAUUAGAAACCCCAGUAGUCC